AUUGAACGCUGGCGGCAGGCCUAACACAUGCAAGUCGAGCGGAUGGGAGGAGCUUGCUUCUCGAUUCAGCGGCGGACGGGUGAGUAAUGCCUAGGAAUCUGCCUGGUAGUGGGGGACAACGUUUCGAAAGGAACGCUAAUACCGCAUACGUCCUACGGGAGAAAGCAGGGGACCUUCGGGCCUUGCGCUAUCAGAUGAGCCUAGGUCGGAUUAGCUAGUUGGUGAGGUAAUGGCGCACCAAGGCGACGAUCCGUAACUGGUCUGAGAGGAUGAUCAGUCACACUGGAACUGAGACACGGUCCAGACUCCUACGGGAGGCAGCAGUGGGGAAUAUUGGACAAUGGGCGAAAGCCUGAUCCAGCCAUGCCGCGUGUGUGAAGAAGGUCUUCGGAUUGUAAAGCACUUUAAGUUGGGAGGAAGGGUUGUAGAUUAAUACUCUGCAAUUUUGACGUUACCGACAGAAUAAGCACCGGCUAACUCUGUGCCAGCCGCCGCAGUAACAC
rnacentral:rRNA from 1 species